AUUACCUGUAAACAUUUCUUUUUUGGAAGAUUCAAUAUCAUAAAAAUGUCAAAAUCUCAAAUUGAUAAAUAAAUUUCAUGCAGUUACAAUAAAAUUCCAAUUUUUUUCCAGGAGCCUGACAAGUUUUAUCUAAAAUGUUUUGUAGCCUUUAUUAAAGAGAAAUACAAUGUUGAAGAAAAAAAGAUAGGACUUGACCUGCAAAGUAUCAAAAAUUAUCGUAAACGUAUAGUAAUUAGGACAGAGUGGUAUUGACAAAGGUAUGGACAAACCAAUCAAUGGGAACUCAGAAAUAAACCCAAACGUAUACAGACUUGAUUUUAUUUCAGUACAGCCAUGUUAGUUUCAGGUGAAAAGGAUAGAUGUUUUUCAGUGUGUGGUACUGGGACAAUUAUUAGGUUGGUGCAAAAGUAAUUGUGGUUUUUGCCAUUGCUUUUAAUUAUUUUUAAUGGCAAAAACUGCAAUUACUUUUGCACCAACCUAAUAGUUAACUUUGGGGAAAACAUGGUAUUAGACUCAUAACAGUCUUUAGCCAGACUGUUUAAAGACCUGUACGAGAAAAGUAAAAGCAUAUGACUCUUAGAAUCUUAUAUAGAAGAGUAACUUUAUUAACCCCUAAACAUUCCUAUGCGUAUUUCCUAAACACAAGGACAUUCUCUUACAUAACCACAAUUUAAUUAUCAAAAUCAAGAAAUUAACAUUGAUUCACUACUAUAUCUUAAUAUAAAGACCUUAUUCAAUGUUGCCAAUGGCCCCACUAAUGUCCUGAGAGCAUCCUGCAAGAACAGAAUUCUACUGUAACCCCCACUGUGUUCAGUCACUGGCUGUAAGCAACCCUGAGUGAAGGCCGUGGUGGAUCACAACAGCUGGAACUCAGGUCAUUUCUGCUCCCCACAGCAACAGAUCUGGGUGACAAGUUUCUAUAGCUGCUAAUAUAGUUUGGAUAUUGGCUCCACCCAAAUCUCAUGUUGAAAUAUAAUCCCCAAUGUAGUAGGUGGGGCCUAGUGGGAGGUGAUUGGAUCAUGGGGGUGGAUUUCUCAUGAAUGUCUUAGGACCAUUCCCUUGGUGCUGUCCUCGAGAUAGUGAGUGACUUCUCGUAAGAUCUGGCUGUUUAAACAUGUGACACCUCGCUGGUUAUCUCUCUUGCUCCUGCUCCCACCGUGUUAGACAUCUGCUCCUCCUUUGCCUUCUGCCAUGAUUGGAAGCUUCCUGAGGCCUCUGCAGAAGCAGUUGCUGGCGUUAUGUUUUCUGUACAGCCUGCAGAACCAUGAGCCAAUUAAACGUCUUUUCUUUCUACAUUAACCAGUCUCAGGUAUUUCUUUAAAGCAGUGCAAGAAUGGCCUAAUAUAGCUGCUACGGUAGGCCUUCUUGUUACCAAACUAGAAAGGUCAAGAGAAUCCUAGAAGUCCAUCCUGAGCUGAGUUGUUCUGCUGUGCCCACCUCGGCAACUGCCGGCCUCUGACCUCUUGGUAGGCCAGAAUUAGAAACCUCUCUAUGUCUGAGCCAGUGUAAGUCAGGUUUUCUGUUAUUUGUGGUCAAAAGCGUUUCUAACUGACAUAAGCCCCUAAAAAUAGAAAUGCCAGAUUUUUUUUUUUUUUUUUUUUUUUAAGAGACGGAGUCUCGCUCUUUCGCCAAGGCUGGAGUGCAGUGGCAUGAUCUCGGCUGACUGCAAGCUCC
rnacentral:lncRNA from 1 species